rnacentral:tRNA from 1 species
GCCGUCUUAGCUCAGAGUUAGAGCGCGUGGCUUUUAACCACGUGGUCGUUAGUUUCGAUCCCCACAGACGGCG